GAUGGUGAACAUGACAGUCAAUGUUGUGAAAGGCCUUCUGCAAUAGAUACACCAAGAUGCUGUUUGUUCUGGUGUUUCAACUCCUAAUCCUGUAAUGAAUUGUUCCCUGGAAUCAUGCCAGCGGUCAUUUGCUAAUCCGACUAUCAUACUCCCUCCACAAAGUUCGGAAUUAAAUAAAACUUGAAGGAAUUUAAGCUCAAUCCCGGAGCAAAAAUUUUCUCUCCAUCUUUUGUUACUGCUGCCAUAUCAGCAGCUCCUCCCGUAGUACCAACAGUCGCAAUGUGUCGUACAUACCUGGCAACUUACCUAUGGUAGCUGUUUCUGUUUCUCAUCCAGAGGUUGGAAUGGGCACUUUUGCGCCUCGUUCCUCUACACCUUCUAAGUUUAUCUCUUAUGGUAACAUAUCAGCUGCAACUGGUGUCAGUGGUUCACAGUUUUCUCAACCUAUUGUUGGGCAUAUGGGGAAUAGAACCCAGCCACUUAGAUUCGCUAGUCAUAUCAUCCUGUUCAGGCUGCGCCGGCAUAUUUGAAUCCAAA